UAGGGAAUCUUCCGCAAUGGACGAAAGUCUGACGGAGCAACGCCGCGUGAGUGAAGAAGGAUUUCGGUUCGUAAAACUCUGUUGUUAGGGAAGAAAAAAUGUAUAGUAACUAUAUACAAAAGAGACGGUACCUAACCAGAAAGCCACGGCUAACUACGUGCCAGCAGCCGCGGUAAUACGUAGGUGGCAAGCGUUGUCCGGAAUUAUUGGGCGUAAAGCGCGCGCAGGUGGUUUAGAAAGUCUGAUGUGAAAGCCCACGGCUCAACCGUGGAGGGUCAUUGGAAACUAAUAAACUUGAGUGCAGGAGAGAAAAGUGGAAUUCCUAGUGUAGCGGUGGAAUGCGUAGAGAUUAGGAGGAACACCGGUGGCGAAAGCGGCUUUUUGGCCUGCAACUGACACUGAGGCGCGAAAGCGUGGGGAGCAAACAGG
rnacentral:rRNA from 1 species